AUGGCCGAAUGCACUGGAACCCAAAUCUGACGCAGAAGGUUUGAAAAGGGACAAAGAAUCCACAUGAACAAAGAACAGAGCAGGACCUUAUUGUUCGAAGUCUCAUGAGACUUUUUGAACGAGGUGUUCAGAGCAUCCUGCAGUCUCACCCUGGGAUUACUCCAACAUAUAUUUACCUCACAAUUUGGAACUUUGCCCACAUUUAGUAUUAACAUCUAACAGAGAGAAGAUGGAUCUGUUUGGAAAAGGAGAUAAGAAGUAAGUAAAGAAAUAUAAAACCUGAGGAGCAUUUAGUAAUCUAACUGCAGAAGAGACUUGAUUCAGGUUGGUCCGUACUCCACAGAAACUGUCUGUAUUUCUCAACAGCACAUGUUGUAGUAGAUGUGUCUGAAAUCACAGAUUGCAUUCAUGCUCAAUAAGAAGUCUGUUCAUUUCAAGUUUUGGUCACAGACCCAAAAACUGAAGGCUUCAACAGAAAUGUAUGAUGACGCAUAAAGUAAACACGUAAUGGACCACAGUAUGUGAUACAUCAGUGUUUAGGGACUGAUGAACUGAAAAGAAAGAUCUCUGUUUCACAUCUAUUAUUUUUGGACAAAUAUUAAAAGUGUUUUUAUUUG